GAAGCGGCUUAAAUCACCGUCAGGUCGAAUACCUACACUGGGGUUUGUUGGUCAAAAAUCUUAUGCCGAAGCUUUAUUUGAUGAUCCUGCUAGGGGAAGGGAGAGCCGUGUAGUAUAUGCCAACGAAGUUGGGAAUGGUUGGCUUUAUGAAAGUCUUAUUGUUAAGCUGAAAUGCUUCCAAGCUUUUCCCGAGUUUCAAAAAGCGGUUCUUGAAAAAGGUUCUAAGGAUAUUGUAGUAAAGGAAGGUGGUGGUAGAAUGGUCGUAGUCUCAUUCAAAUCAACUGACCAUCUUAAGGAGAAUCAAGCCUUACUCCACGACUGUCUGAAGGAUUGGUGUGAGUCUGUAUCCUUAUGGGGGCAGAAUGGUUACAUUGAACAAGAACGAGGAGUAUGGUUAAGCUGCUAUGGUGUGCCACUCAAUCUUUGGAACAACGACACUUUUAUGAAGCUCGGAAGGUUAUGGGGGGUGGUACUCCAAAUUGAUGAUGAAACUUCUAAUCAAACAUCAUUCAGGUGUGGGAGAAUUAGAAUUGCAACUAAUUUUAUGGAUCCCAUUAAUAUAGUUGUUCUGGUGAAGUGCAAAGACAGAAGUUACCCGGUUUGAAUCUGUGAGGAGCAAAUCGUCAUUACCAGGGUGGUGAAUGAGGUUUGUAUGUGCACUAUGCAAGAGUGUCUUAGCUCUAACAUGCAUGAGAAACAGGAAGAAGAGGUGGGUGAUAGCCUGAAGGAAGAUGGUGAUGAUGUGGAUGCUGUCAUCCAUAUAGAUGUGGCAAGUGAAGAUAAGGUGGUAACCAUACAAAGGACAGAGUUGGUUAAUGGUGGGUCCAAUAAGGUGGAUGGAAUGAUAAAUGUUUCAGAUCCAUCUUUGGUGGUGGAAACCAUGAGUAGAGAUAUGGGGAACACAAAUUGGAAUGGGGUGUGUGUAGUUAAUGUGGUGGCUGGCAGCCCCUCUAAUAAUCAGAAGAGUGAUUGGGGCAAUUUAGGUUAAGAGGUAGGGGUUUCCACGAGUAGGUAUAUGAAAAGUCUUAGUGGACCAUUGAUUGUUGGGCCUGGUAUAAGGUUCCAGGUUAUUCUGAAGGAGGCUCAAUUGGGCAAAGUUAUUGAUAAGCCUAAUUCAGAUACUGAGGUUGUGGAGCAGGCCCAUAACUGGAUGGAAAUUUCUCAAACCCAGGAGUUGGACCAUCUUAUCUCUGAUCCACAGCCCAUUGAUUGUGUUGGCACUCUUGGGGGAGAACCAAGUAGGUGUGUCAUCUUCAUCCUAGAGCCAACAUCCUCAAGAGAAAAACCAUAGUUGCUUAGAAAGGAUUCAGAAUGAGGAUUGGUAGGGAUUAUCGACUUCAAAGGAGGGGCUUAUAGAGUGGUGGUUCACUGGCUAUGAAGAAAUGGGUUAAAGGUCUGGUGUUCAAAGUUGCUGUUUCAGUGUUUUCACGCUCAAAAUCGGAAGGUCAGAGCUCACACAGUGAUGAUCCUAUCAUGGCAGAGGCAAGGGAAACAAUUAAUAUGGGGAAAGCUUUGGGCAUUAACUUCGAUGGAUCUGAAGAGGAAUCCUUGAGGAAAAUUAUAAGGAUGGAGGAAGAUGAUGCAAGGAAAGCCGCUUGUAGGGAAGGUGGUGCAUCUGUGUAGGGUGUUCCACUUGGAGGUUGGGGAGUGUUCACUGUUCUUAAUGAAACUCUUAUCUUGGAAUAUAAAGGGUCUUGGAGGACCUAGCAAAAGGAGGAAAAUUAGAACAUUACUUAAAGAAAGAAAUAUUGACGUGGUAUUUUUGCAAGAAACAAAGAAAUCUGAACUCUCAUUUGAGGUAGUUAGAUCUAUUUGGCCAGUUGAAGACAUGGACUAUAUGUCAGUUGAUGCAGCUGGGCUGGCAAGGGGAAUUCUGUGUAUUUGGAAGCCUUCUGUGUUCUCACUUUCCGAGUGCUGCUGCUCUUGAAGCUUCACCCGUCUAUCAGGUAGACAGUUCAUGUGGAGCAACUCAAGUGAUAAGGGAAGAUGGAGUAGAAUUGAUAGGAUUUUGUUAUCUGUAGAGUGGUUGGAAAGAUUCAAAUUCAGCCUAUGGGGCCUUCCUAGAGAAGUGUCCGAUCAUAGUCCACUUUUAUUAAUGCAGGAUGGUCGGGACUGGGGUCCAAGACCAUUUCGAUUUUUGAAUGCUUGGACUUUGCAUCAGUAGUUUCAAUCGGUGGUGAAGAAGUCCUGGGAGGAGGUUGGUGUACCAGGUUGGGCUGGUUUUGUGAUCCAAGCUAAAAUCAGGAACCUUAGAUCGGCCUUAAAAAGAUAGAAUGCAGAGGUUUUUGAAAAUGUCCACCUUGCUCUCAAGUCAGCAGAGGAGAAGCUUCAUAGUCUUGACCUGCUAGCCGAAUCUAGGGACCAUGAUGACUCUCAGGUUGGCUGCAGGAGAGACCUUAGAAAGGAGAUGUGGGCCUUAAAUAGGAAGAUUGAAUGGAUAUGGCUUCAAAAAUCCAGAUUGGACUGGUGCAUGAAAGAUGAUAAGAAUACAAGAUUCUUUCAUGUAGUGGCAUCAAAGAGGCAAAACAGAAAUUUGUUGAGUUCAAUUUCAGUGGGAGGGGUGCUCCAUGAGGAACCAAGUAGAGUGAAAGAAGAAAUAUUCCUGCAUUUUAAAAGAUUAGUCAAGCAGGCCAAAGUUGUCAAGGUAUUUCAACUCUAUUGGUCAUGAUGGGGCUAUUGUUGGUCUUGAAGCAGAGUUUUCUGAAGAGGAAGUGUGGGCAGCUAUUAAAAGUUGUGAUGGAAAUAAGGCCCCUGGGCCAAAUGGGCUUAAUUUGAUGUGUUUCAAAAAAUGUUGGCAGAUUUUUAAAGCUGAUGUUCUACAAUUUUUUAAGGAAUUCUAUGACAAGGGAAAGUUGGCUGGUGGGGUUAAUAGCUCCUUCAUUACACUGAUCCCAAAAGUUGAUGGCCCAGCUACUAUUUAAGAUUAUAGGCCAAUUAGCUUGAUAGGAUCUUUAUACAAAAUCCUUGCUAAAGUCUUGACAAGUAAGCUGAAGCUAGUGGUUCCUAGACUGAUUGUGGAGGCUCAAUCUGCUUUCCUUGGGGGUAGAAACAUUAUGGAUGGGGUUUUAAUUGCAAAUGAAGUUGCUGAUUGGUGGAAGAAGAAUAGGGCAAAAGGUUUGAUUUUUAAGCUGGAUUUCGAAAAAGCGUUUGAUUCAGUUAAUUGGGAAUGCCUUAUGUCUAUGUUGAUAGUGUUCGGUAUUGGGGCUUGGUGGAGAAAGUGGAUUAAGGAAUGCUUGCAUUCUUCUUGAAUUUUAGUUUUGGUGAAUCGCUCUCCAACAGUUGAAUUUGUCCCUAAAAAAGGUCUCAGGCAAGGGGAUCCCUUGUCACCUUUCCUUUUCAAUGUUGUUGCUGAGGGGUUGAAUGUUUUAUUGCAAAGGGCUUUGUCAAGUGGUCUUAUCAAGGGGGUUGUUAUAGGCCACGGUGAUUCGAUAUCAACUAUAUCACAUCUACAAUUCGCAGAUGACACUAUAAUUUUUUGUGAGGCUGUUUGGGAGGAAGUUUUGACAAUAAAACGAAUUUUGAGAUGUUUCCAGUUAGUUUCUGGUCUGAAGAUUAAUUUCUCCAAAAGUCUUGUGAGUGGAAUUGGUGUGCCUGAUCAGCUGGUUGAGGAGUUUGCUAACAGACUUUAUUGCAAAAGCAAACACCUACCCUUUCCAUACCUUGGUUUGCCUUUGGGUGCCAAUCCAAGAUUGAGAAAAGCUUGGAGUCCAGUUGUUGAUAAGGUUAGAGGCAAAUUGGCAUCCUGGAAGAGAAAGCUACUAUCAUUUGGGGGGAGGCUAACUCUAAUUAAAUUAGUCUUGUCUUGUGUCCCCAUUUAUUAUCUUUCUAUCUUUAAGAUGCCUAUUUCUGUGGUUAAAGAAGUUGAAGGGCUGCAAGCAUCUUUUUUGCGGGGUGGAUUUGAUUUGAAAAAAAAGAUUCACUUGGUUAAAUGGGCUGAGGUGUCUAAAAGUAAAGAUGAAGGUGGGCUUGGGGUUAGGAAAAUACAUGAGGUGAAUGAUUGUUUGUUGGCUAAAUGGUGGUGGAGGUAUGGUGUUGAGGAUAAUGCACUUUGGAAGAAAGUUAUCUGCAGUAGGAAUCAACCAGCUGGUGGGAGGUGGUUGCCUAAUUUUACUGUUACAGUUAAUCUUUCAGUAGUAUGGGGGGUUAUUCUUAGUAUAUCCCAAUCAAAUCCAAAACUUCUGAAUCUUUUUUGGGAAAACACUCAAAUUGUGGUUGGGGAUGGGGCCAGAGUGAGCUUCUGGUUGGAUCAGUGGCUUGGGACUCAAUGUUUAAAAUAUAACUUCCCCUGACUAUUCAGUUUGUUAAAUGAAAAGGGCAUCUCUCUAAAGUUGUUGGUUGAAAGAAAUCGCUGCUUCAAAGGUUAGAACCUUAAUUUUCGUAGAGCUUUAUUUGCCUGGGAGGUUGAGGAGUUGGACAGAUUAUACACCAUACUGAACCAGUCUCUGAUUCGAACCUGCAAUAAGUUGGAUCAAUGGAAAUGGUUGCCAUGCUCAUCAGGUCAAUUUAGCUACUCAUCUCUUUAUCAUCUGCUACUGUCUUCUGGUUCUAUGGGGGUAUCAAAAAUGUUGUGGUCUAAUGUCUCUCCUCCAAAAGUUCAGUUCCUCGGGUGGUUGGUCUGGAAGGGGAAGUUAAAGACUUUAGUGUUCCGUAAUAGAAUUGGUGUUUUGGGUCAUAUUGUUUCUGUGAAUUGUGUGUUCUGUCGGUCUCAUGUGGAAAUAGUAUCUCAUGUCAUGCUUUUGUGCCCCUAUGUUUGGAAAAUCUGGUCUGAUCUAUUGAAUUGGUGGGGGCUGCAAUGGAUUGUACCUACUACAGUGGCGGAUCUUUUUCUCUGGUGGAGUGGAUUUAAAUGGAGGACGCUUGAGAACAAAAUAUGGAGAGCAAUGCCUUUGGCAAUUAUGUGGUAUAUCUGGAGGUUUAGAAAUGAAGUUGUGUUGAAUGGAAAGGAAGCUGUGUUGGGAGAGAUUUGUGAAUUAAUUAAGUUGAGAAUCAUUUUUUGGGUGAAAGCUCACACCAUGGGUUGCUCUUACACAGUGCAGGAUUUCAUGUCUAACCCGCAACAUAUUAGAAAUGGAGUUUAGGCGGUGCUGGGGAGUUCUGUUUGGUUUGUGUCCAGUUGUUGGCACAUGUUCUAUUUUGGUGAGCUGCUGUGUUUCAGGCUGUAGAGGUUCAAUGGUGUGUUGGGAUGAUCUUGGCUGUAGAGAUGCUAUGUUUCAAGGUGUAGAGGUUCAAUGGCGUGUUGUGUCCAGUUGCUGGUUCGGUUGGGUGUUCCUUUGUGUAUUAAUACUGCUAUAGUUGGCUUUCUGGGUUCAGUUCCAUUAUAUUGGCAGCAUGUUGGGAUGAUCUUGGUUUGUUGCUUCUGCUGGAAUUGGUUUAAUGGGCUUAGAACCAUCUCAUUGGCAGCAGGUAUUCAUUUCUUGUUUUCAUCUCCAAUUUGGGUCUGAUUCGGUGUUGCCCCUAAGGUAGUGGUGUUGGGUUGUUCUGUUGGUUUUGUAUCUGGCUACUGGCAGUUGUUUUGGUUUUGGUGAGCUGAUGAUGUUUGCUGAUGUAGUGUCUUGGUGUUGAAAACAGAGGUUAACUUGGUGGGCUGCUGCUGAGUGUGCUGAGUGUGUUCUGAUGGUGUUUUGUUUUGCCUUGUGCUUCUCUUUUUUUUUUUUGGCUUCGGUUGGUUUCUCACCAACUCUUGAUGGUGUGCUAGUAAGGGAUUGGGUGGUCAUAUUGGUGCCAACUUAAUUGGGAUUGAUAUGUCUCACUAUGAUGCUUUUUGCACCCAUCCCUCUUUUUUUCUUUUUUUGUUGUCAUAAAUUCUUUGUUUCAUCAAUAAAA